rnacentral:rRNA from 1 species
UACAGAGGGGGCAAGCGUUAUUCGGAAUUAUUGGGCGUAAAGGGCGCGUAGGCGGCCAUUCAAGUGACGGGUGAAAGCCCUCGGCUUAACCGAGGAACUGCCUGUCAGACUGGAUGGCUUGAGACCGGGAGAGGGAUGCGGAAUUCCAGGUGUAGCGGUGAAAUGCGUAGAUAUCUGGAGGAACACCGGUGGCGAAGGCGGCAUCCUGGACCGACACUGACACUGAGGAGCGAAAGCCAGGGGAGCAAACGGG